GACUGGACGCUGUAAACACAGUUUUAUGCGUUAAGGCAUAUUCAUCGGCCAGGACCGCUGCCUGACUCAACGUCGCCACUUUGUUUUCACUAAGAUGCUUCACAAUUCUUUCAGCCGGGCCGUUUUCAACUUUAGCCGAGCAACCUCUACAGACUCUGAGAACUCAGGAGACGACAGUGCAUACUUUGGCAGAGUUUGAGGCACUGGGGCUUCCCAAUCUCCAACACUGCCCUUUGGCCUUGCGGGCGAGAGAUUCUCUACAGGGCCCUCAUCCUCCUCAUCCUCUGUUUCCACAUCCUCCACAGCCAUAACUCCUGCCCUAGACAGACUCAAUAAAUGGCUUUUGAUCACCA